CCUACGGGCGGCAGCAGUAGGGAAUCUUCCACAAUGGGCGAAAGCCUGAUGGAGCAACGCCGCGUGGGUGAAGAAGGUCUUCGGAUCGUAAAACCCUGUUGUUAGAGAAGAAAGUGCGUGAGAGUAACUGUUCACGUUUCGACGGUAUCUAACCAGAAAGCCACGGCUAACUACGUGCCAGCAGCCGCGGUAAUACGUAGGUGGCAAGCGUUAUCCGGAUUGAUUGGGCGUAAAGGGAACGCAGGCGGUCUUUUAAGUCUGAUGUGAAAGCCUUCGGCUUAACCGGAGUAGUGCAUUGGAAACUGGGAGACUUGAGUGCAGAAGAGGAGAGUGGAACUCCAUGUGUAGCGGUGAAAUGCGUAGAUAUAUUGAAGAACACCAGUGGCGAAAGCGGCUCUCUGGUCUGUAACUGACGCUGAGGUUCGAAAGCGUGGGUAGCAAACAGGAUUAGAUACCCCUGUAGUC
rnacentral:rRNA from 1 species